rnacentral:rRNA from 1 species
AACGAACGCUGGCGGCAGGCUUAACACAUGCAAGUCGAGCGCCCCGCAAGGGGAGCGGCAGACGGGUGAGUAACGCGUGGGAAUCUACCCAUCUCUACGGAAUAACGCAUGGAAACGUGUGCUAAUACCGUAUACGUCCUUCGGGAGAAAGAUUUAUCGGAGAUGGAUGAGCCCGCGUUGGAUUAGCUAGUUGGUGAGGUAAAGGCCUACCAAGGCGACGAUCCAUAGCUGGUCUGAGAGGAUGAUCAGCCACACUGGGACUGAGACACGGCCCAGACUCAUACGGGAGGCAGCAGUGGGGAAUAUUGGACAAUGGGCGCAAGCCUGAUCCAGCCAUGCCGCGUGAGUGAUGAAGGCCCUAGGGUUGUAAAGCUCUUUCACCGGUGAAGAUAAUGACGGUAACCGGAGAAGAAGCCCCGGCUAACUUCGUGCCAGCCGCCGCCGUAAGAC